UACGGAGGGUGCGAGCGUUGUCCGGAAUCACUGGGCGUAAAGGGCGCGUAGGUGGCGCAGGAAGUUAACGGUGAAAGUUCGGGGCUCAACCCUGAAUCGGCCGUCGAUACUCCUGGGCUCGAGCACUGUAGAGGCAGAUGGAAUUCCGGGUGUAGCGGUGGAAUGCGUAGAGAUCCGGAAGAACACCGGUGGCGAAGGCGGUCUGCUGGGCAGUUGCUGACACUGAGGCGCGACAGCGUGGGGAGCGAACAGG
rnacentral:rRNA from 1 species